AUUGAACGCUGGCGGCAGGCCUAACACAUGCAAGUCGAACGAGUGGCGGACGGGUGAGUAAUUUCUGAGAAACUGCCUGAUGGAGGGGGAUAACUACUGGAAACGGUAGCUAAUACCGCAUAACAUCCUAUGUGCCCAGAUUGGAGUAGCUUGUUGGGGGGGUAACGGCUCACCAAGGCGACGAUUCCUAGCUGGUCUGAGAGGCUGACCAGCCACACUGGAACUGAGACACGGGCCAGACUCCUACGGGAGGCAGCAGUGGGGAAUCUUGCACAAUGGGCGCAAGUCUGAUGCAGCAAUGCCGCGUGUAUGAAGAAGGUCUUCGGGUUGUAAAGUACUUUCAGCGGGGAGGCGUUACCCGCAGAAGAAGCACCGGCUAACUCCGUGCCAGCAGCCGCGGUAAUUC
rnacentral:rRNA from 1 species